rnacentral:tRNA from 1 species
UAAGGCUAGUACUUUGAAAAAGAAAGAGAAGUAGUUCCAAUAUAUCUCUCUAGAGAUCUCUAGUAGUGUUAG